UGAACCUGCGGAAAGGAUCAUURWMSAUUCUAAKGCCUUCGKUCUUAAUUUCGGCUGKGCGCUCAGGCUUGMACGCCGGAUAACYUYUCACACCUGUGCACCUUUUCGKUUGCGGUUUCGGCCGCUUCCGCUUUUACAUGCAACCACGAAAAGUCUAGAAUGUGACGAGAACUAUAAAGUAACAACUUUCAACAACGGAUCUCUUGGCUCUCGCAUCGAUGAAGAACGCAGCGAAAUGCGAUAAGUAAUGUGAAUUGCAGAAUUCAGUGAAUCAUCGAAUCUUUGAACGCACCUUGCGCUCCUUGGUAUUCCAUGGAGCAUGCCUGUUUGAGUGUCACGUAAACCCUCACCCCUGCGAUGUAACAGUCGCCUGCGGUGGACUUGGACCGUGCCGGUAAUCGGCUCGUCUUGAAAUGCAUUARCUGGCSCUUUUASAGUGCUGGGCGAACGGUGUGAUAAUUUAUCUGCGCCCGACUGSCCUGGGGCCCUCUUCARCCGGSGCUGSUUACAGCSGUCCCCUUGUGGACAACUAAUUUUAAAGCUUUGGCCUCAAAUUCAGGUAGAUUACAGAAA
rnacentral:rRNA from 1 species